UACACACCUGUGCCUUGAUUUCACGUGUGAGGCCAGUCGAAGGAAUACACUAGCAUUUCUCAGUUAAUAAGUUGACCAUAGCAACCAUACUUCAGCUCCUCUUCUCUGCUUCGAUCCACGCCCUCUCUCUCUCUCUCUCUCUCUCUCUCUCUCUCUCGAUUGGAAGAAGGAGAGCUGCUAGAAGACCUCCUUAUUAUUCAGAUCCAGAUCCAAAUCAAUUCAAGGUAAGCUCGAUUCUUUUCAUUUCGCUCCUUCCGCUCCUUUUCUCUCGAUCUCAGUUUCUCGAAAAAGAGCUGAAACCCUAGUCUCCGCCCCUUUUCUCUCGAUCUCUCCUUUCAUUUUUCUGGCGAUUUCUGAUCUUUAAUCGAGAGAUUCAUACCCAGAAAGCUCGUAGAUGCGAAAAUACGUGUCUUCUGAACUUAGAAUCUUCAAUCGGCUGAAAUGGAAGCAGAUUCAGCUGCGGAAGCUCUUAGUUGUGAAGAUCUGUGAUUUCCGCAGCCUAGAUCUUCGAUCGAUGAUAUAUAUAGAAGCUGUGUUUACCUUAUUGGAAGGGAUAUCAAUCGAUCUGUGCUUCUUUUUUUGCCUGAUCGAGACAAUUCGAUUUUAGAAGAUCUGCGAUUUCUGAGGUUCUGAUCGUCGAUAUUUUAAGUGGGAGAGAUCUCCUGCCUUUUUCUCUGUUCUUUCAGAUCUAGGGAUUUUACUCGAAAGAAAGCUUUUGCACACAUCAGCGGCUUAGAUAUCCUCUUUUGAGGUCUAGAUCUUUGAUCUGAUGCGAUUGGAGUAAUUGCAACUUCUGCCUUGAGCAAUUUACAUUCUCGUCCUGCAUUUGGAGGAAUUGUUUGCUUCUGAGUCCUUGCUAUCUGCAAUAAUCUAGAAAUAUUUAAAUUUCUGUGUUAUUUUAUUCUGCAUGUUUACAAUAAAUGGUUGAGUUGUACUAGUUUUUUGUGAAUGGGUUUUCUUUUGUUAUUUCCUCCUAUAAUUGUGCCUUUUCAUUUCACAAAAUGCUGCAUCUAGCAUUAAAUCAUGGUAAGUGAAUGCAGCUCAUCCGAGUUCUUCAUCAUCUCAUGAUUAGAGAAAAUUGAUAUUAGUUGUCAUGUAAUCCAUAAACCUUCAAAAUGUAAUGAUGGCUACUUAACUUAUUUGCUACUUAACAUGAGAGUAUACACCAAUUUCCGUGCAAGCCAGGUAGGUCACAAUCUGCUUCUCACGUUAGAUAAACAAGGGGCAUAUACACCCAUUUUCAUGCAGGCCAGCACUUUAUCACCAAUUAGGAGAUACUGAGGAGCCAAACGAUGGCAAUGCCUCAGUGAAGAAGAGAACUAAUGUGUUACUUCUUGGUGAUCGCCUUGGAGAUCUAGGAAUGUCUGAUGGUUUGAACUAUGAGAACCAAAUUGCUGUCGGAUUCUUAAUUCCAUGGGAAAGACUAAUCUAUACAGGAUGGGCCUCGCAUGCAACGCGUGUGAGAAUUCUUUGGGAAGUCUUUUGUAUAAGAGUCCCUCCAGAAAAGGUAACUAUAUGGAGGAAGAAUUAUUUUUGGAGGGAGAAUUUUAUCUGUAUGAAGGGUAAUUGUGUCAGUUAAAUUCACAUGAGAAAUUGAAUAGAGGAAGGGGCUGUGGCUAGUAUUGCUCCCUAUUGGUUACUUGGGCCGCUGGUUAAAUUUCUUGGGUGACUGGCUGAAUUUCUGGGCCGCUGGUUGUGUUUCAGUUCAGGAUGCAUUUGCUUUGUGUGUGUUUGUCUUUUGUUUUGUUUUAUAUGUUGUUCGCUGUGGAGUGACAAUAGGGUCACCUUCCUCUGCGCUUUUUUUUUUCCUCAAUGAUUCCGUCAAUAAAAUAGAAUAAAAUAAAAUAAAACCAAGUGAUAUUAUUAUUGGUGCAGGUGAAUGUUAACUUGGCUGGACUGCUUGCACUGGUGCUGCCAUGUGGAUUGAUUGAAGGUGGACCUGCCGGCCUUCCUGUUGGACUUGAAAUGAUUGAUGCUCCCUUUGAUGAGGUAUUGAACUGCCUUUCUUGUUUCUGAGAACAUGCUGUUUCCGGUUCAAUGACUGAGAAUUCGUGCCUUCUCCUUCCUUUCUCUGUUUUCUUCUUAUCACAUUGCUGUCGAUUUUGUUCAUAUGCAUCCGUAACUGAGAUUGCCAUUUUCCUUUUCUGGUUUGAGCUUUUCAACAUAUUUCAAAUGAUUUCCGAAAAUAUUAGGCAGACAUUCAAGUUUCAGCGACAAAAAGAACCCUAGAAAUUCAAUGUUCAGGAACAUUUGAUGGCGUCUUGAAGCUUAUGGUUCAUGCUGGCAGAAGUCUGCCUAAAGCUAUCAUGAUGAUGAUACCUGAGGCGUGGCAAAAUGUUAAAAACAUGGAUCGUGAUAGAAAAGCCUUAUACGAAUAUUUUUCAGCUCUUAUGGAGCCAUGAGAUGGACCUGCACUUAUAUCAUUUACUGAUGGCCGCUAUCUCGAAGUGACAAUGGACCGGAAUGGAUUGCGCCCCGGUCGCUUUUACAUCACACAGUGGACGCGUGAUCAUGGCCAGUGAGGUUGGUGUUGUAGACAUCUGCCAGGAGAUGUGGCUAGGAAAGGAAGACAUCUGAUCGGUCCAGAAGGGGAUCUUACUGAAACAGUUCAUGUGGAAAGCUAUGUGGCAGUUCAUGUGCCUUUGUAUUUUGUUUUGAAAAAAUUAAAUAGACCAUUAAUUGUUUUGUUGA